UUUAAAUUGAGAGUUUGAUCCUGGCUCAGGACGAACGCUGGCGGCGUGCCUAACACAUGCAAGUCGAGCGGAGAAUGCGGAUAUGUUUACAUAGAAGCGUUCUUAGCGGCGGACGGGUGAGUAACACGUGGGUAACCUGCCUCAAAGUGGGGGAU
rnacentral:rRNA from 1 species